UAUUUUUUACUUAGACUUAACUAUUGGAGAUUUUGUGUAAUUACUGGAAUUUGACUUUGUGGAGAUGAGUUGAUGAUAUUUAUAAGUGCCAUGUAUGCUAAAUUGUAGUUUGGGAAAUUGGAGGAAAUGAUUAGGGAGUGUACAUUUUCCAUGCAGGUUUGGGACUCUGAAAGUCCAGUGUGUAUUUUGAGCCAUGACUGAAUUUGUGUUGCUCCAAUUGGUAUGAG
rnacentral:misc_RNA from 1 species